CACAAAUUUCAAGUAAAUGAAUAAAAAAAAAUAUAUUUAAUUUUAUGCAUAUAAAAUUUAUUAUUAUCUAAAUAAAUUGUGAGUUUAAUAUAUAUAUAAAAAUGUUGGUACGUAAAAUAUUUGAUGAUGGUACGAGUUUGAUAAUUUAUUUUGGUGCUGGCCAGUAGCUUAAUCUAUUCGGCGAUAUUAAAUUUAGGAAUCCGUUACAUGAAUGAACUAGUAGACGCGAAUAGUUGAAUUAUUCUACGACUCGGAAAUAAAUGUUACGGGAUGGCUAGAAUAAUUAUUUAAUUGUUAAUAUUCUAUAAAUCGCGAAGUAUUUAGAAACGGUGAGAACAAUUAUUUAGUUAACAAUUUUAUAUAAUAUUCAAAUAUUUAAAUAGUAGCAUUAAUUAAAUCGGAACCGAAAAUAUUCGGGAAUAAAACGAUCAAAAUAACGCAUUCUUCGAGUCGUUACUUGUGGAGCAAGAAAAAAUAAAAAAAUAAUAAUAAAAAAUAAUAAAAAAAUAUAUAUGUACUUGGUGACCAAGUAAACUUGGGGCCCAAGUAUUAAUUAAGAGCUAAUUAAACUAUUAUUAGUAGUUAAUUAUGAUUAAAAUGUUAGUAUAAAAACCGAGAAGAUGCAUUCAUCAUUUCUUUUACAAAAAAAUUAAGAAGUUUGGGUGUAGCAGAUUUAGAUAAAAAUCAAGCCGGAGGAAUUUAGCAGGUCAGGAGAAAGUUAACUACAAGAAUCAAUAGCACAAGAAUAUUAAUUCUUGGAAAAGGCGAAGCCAGUUAUAUAUUAAACACUCGGAAAUAAUAAUCAAGCUAAGGACGACAGUAAAUAGUGAGUAUGGCACAACUCAAGAGAACCGCCCGGAAAUGGGUUUUUGGCAAAGGCAGGGAAAAGGCGCAUCACCCAAGCUGAGACUGCUAGACUACACUGCUUGUUAGUACGAGCUAUAGUUAUUAUAAUGGUCUAAAAUCAGACUUCCCUUUAUGUAAUAAAGUUAGACUCGGUAGUAAUGUUGUAAGACAAGCGAUCCUGGACUUGUGGGGCAAGAGUUGGAUUAUGUAAUAUUAAUAUGUAAUUCAAGUGUUGUUUUGAGCCAGAUGUUUAGUGGCGGAUCAGAUCUGCGGGAUGUGGAUCUGGGGGCGUCAC